UACAGAGGUCUCAAGCGUUGUUCGGAUUCAUUGGGCGUAAAGGGUGCGUAGGCGGCGCGGUAAGUCGGGUGUGAAAUUUCGAGGCUUAACUUCGAAACUGCAUUCGAUACUGCCGUGCUUGAGGACUGGAGAGGAGACUGGAAUUUACGGUGUAGCGGUGAAAUGCGUAGAUAUCGGAAGGAACACCAGUGGCGAAAGCGGCUUCCUGGUCCAGCACCGACGUUCAGGCACGAAAGCGUGGGGAGCAAACAGG
rnacentral:rRNA from 1 species